rfam:Neotoma lepida isolate 417 scaffold_24, whole genome shotgun sequence.
AGGGGUAGAGCUCAGCUGGUAGAGAGUUUGCCUAGCAUGCACAAGACUCUGGGUUCGAUCCCCAGUACUGCAU